rnacentral:misc_RNA from 1 species
GCCAAAUUAUCAGCUAAGGUAAUUGGAGCAGUUAAUGAAGUAACAGAUCCCGCAUUGGGGUUUCCAAAUCCAAUCUUCCAGUGUACAACAUGUGGUGCAAACGAUGGGAAAAAAUGUGAAGGUCAUUUUGGAUUAGUAAACUUUCCAUAUACAAUUCUGAAUCCGUAUUUCGUAUCGGAGGUUGCUCAGAUCUUGAAGAAAAUAUGUCCAGGAUGUAAAUCUGUGCGUCGUGAUAAGGUCAAGGUUUCUGAUAGGACAUCUG